rnacentral:lncRNA from 1 species
AUGAGAUUCACUUUUAUCCACUAUCAAAUUUCCACCUCCAACCUCAGGCAUGCAUUGAAACAUAUCGGAAGAGAGAUGAAUAGAACAUCGGCCAGUUCAUCCCUGCACCCCCAGUCCCAGGUUUUCUUCCUUAUGUGUGUGUCCUUGCUCUCCAGCAUCUCAGACGCUCUCACCUAUUCUCCCCCCUUCUCUCUAAGGUCAUCUCCUUUUCUCUCUCCCCAAACUCCAACAAUCCUGUACUUCUGCUGCCACUCUGGCUCUCCCCUAUGACCUUGCUUCUUUCCUCAGGGAGAAAUCUGAGGCAAUCAGCAUUGCCCGUCUACCUGAAUGCAGUGUCUGCACUCUUCCACCUGCCCUCUGGUGUCCGGACAGGCAAACAAGGUUGCAUCCUAUUUUUCCUCCUCAAGGACAAUGCUUCAGAGAGAACUCUGGCCAGUGUGGUCAGUUUUUAUCUUUCUACCAGAUGAUUCCUGCUAGCUACAGGCAUGUUUUUUUUUCUUUUUCUUCUUCUUCUAUCUUAAAAGAAACAGAAACCAAACCAACCAAACAAAUAAAAAAGCUUUUUUGACCCCGUUUCCUCCUCAAGCUACAAUCCGUUUUUUUUUUUUUCCCCAGAAUUCCGUGAAAGAGUUACCUAUACUACUGCCUCCAAAUACUUUUUCUAUGUACUUUUCCGACUUACUAUUCGGAAACAGUUUUAACUGUACAGGGAAGCUGCAAAAAUAGCACAGGAAAUUCUCAUACACCCUCCACUUAGCUUCCCUUAAUGUUAACGCCUUACAUAAUCAUAGUAUAAUAUCAAAAGCAGGAACUCCCAUUUACUCUUGAACCCACUGCAGUUGUGGGCUACUUCAAAUAAAGUCACAAUGACAUCCUUUGCUAAAUCCAGAGGUCAAUCCUCAGAUUUGAUCUUUUUUGACCUAUCAACAGCUUUCAUUUCUGAUAAUUCUCUCCUCCUUUAAUACACUUUCUUUCCUUUCAAGUCACUACCACCAUAUUCUCCUCCAUUUGCUUAAUUGUCAACACUCACCUCUUCUGGAGCUCUUUGCUGGUUUGUCUUCUCUUUUUGACCUCUUAACAAUGGAGCAUGCAGCUGACUCCUUGGAGAACCUCUUCUCUUUUCCUACUGUUCAAACUCAGUGACUAAUCAACUCUCAUUGAUUUAAAUACCACAUACACACUGAUGACUUAACACUUUUUCUGUCUUCUGUUUUAACUUCCUCCUUACAUGGUAGAUUCUUAUGUCCAGUUGUCUUAACAUUCAUUUGGGUGCUUAAUGGGUACAUCAAACAUGACAUUUCCAACGCCUAGUUUCUGUCCUUGUGCCCCAUACCCCUCCCUCCUGAUCAUUUCUGGUAUCAGUAACUGGCAACUUAAUCUUUCCCUCUUCUAUGGCUCUCUAGAGUGGAAACCAAAGUCCUGAUGAUGGCAGAUGAGGCUCUAUGUGACCUGAUCAUCUUCCCCAUAACCUAUCUGACGUCAUCUCUUUCUACUUCCUGCUGCGUCCCUCUGUCCCAGCACACUGGCCUUUAUGCUGUAUUUUGAACAUUCUAUACUGUUCCUGACUCAGGGCCUUUAUGUGUGCUAUUUCCUUGUCCUAAAAUGCCCCUUCUUCUGAUAUCCUCAUGAAUGGAUCACCUUCACUCAAAUGUCCCUUCUCAAUAAGGCCUGUUUUGGUCACGAUAUUUAAAAUUGCUUCUCCCUUCCAGGAGUCCUUGUCCUCCUUCCUGUUUAUGUUUUUAAAUUAUACUUAUAACCAUCAAAGUAUAUUUUAUUUUAUUUUAUUUUAUUUUAUUUAUUUUAUCUUUUUGGUGUCUUUUCCUACUAGAAUGCAAGUUUCACAAGAGCAGCAAAUGUUGCUUUUUUUUCCUUGACUUUUGUUAAUUCCUAAUUCUUUUUUUUUUAUUUUAAAUUUAUUUAUUCAUGAGAGACACAGAGAGAGGAAGAAACAUAGGUAGAGGAAGAAGUAGGGCCCUCACAGGGAGCCUGAUGCGGGACUUGAUCCCAGGACCAGUGUGUCAGGACCUGAGCCAAAGGCAGAUGUUCAACCACUGACCCACCUAGGUGGCCCCUACAUUCCUAAUUCUUAUACAUUGCCUGCAGUAUGGUAGAUAGGCCCUCAAGGAAUAUUUGUUGAAUGAAUGCAUGAUCGUUUCAUAUCUCUGUGAGACAGGCCAGGCAAAUACUACUGUUCCCUUUUAAUCAGGGGAGAUUAAAGCAUUGAGGAGUUAAAAACCUUAUCCAGAGUAAAAGAAGUCUGAAAUGACAGUCCAGUUCUCUGACCUCCACAUGCUUGGGCAUUUCACUACUAGAUUUCAGGAUAGGCCGUCUGAGAUCUUGCUGAACUUUGGCAGGCAAGGGUUAUAAGAACAGAACCAAGGCCAGAAGAGUGCACUAAAGUCACUGGUGGUCAGCUAGUUAAAUUCAUUGGAUCCAAACUUCUUUUUACAAGACAAGAAUUCCAAGUAAGCUUCACUGCAGGGUGACAAGAAGGAGCAUUAAUCUGCCAAAGCAGCUGUUUGCUCUUAUAAAAUACAUCAGUCUUCAUAAUAAUGGAAAAUCCAAGAGGCAGCUUUGCUGAUUGAAUUGAAAGUCAAUGGGAAUCAAGGAAUUGUCCAUGUUGAAUUAUUGAGCAACUAUUUCUAAAUUAAGCCUUUUGGAUGAGCAGCAAACUAGACUGUAGCUUGCACAAAUGUAUGUUUUCGUCACUUCCCUAUUAGGAGAAGUUACAUUAGAUGUGUGCUGGCACAUCAAUCAAAGACCCCGAAACAGGUGUGUGAAAUGACCAUCCAUCAAAUGGGAUCCUUGGCCACUCAACAGCAGAGUGAUUUGGAACUUGUUCAAUGGAUAAUGCACAGGAAAAGAGAGAGGCUAUGCAGAGCUAUUAGCUGAAUUCAAAAGAGCAUGGAAAUUAUUCUGAUGCUGGAAUGAAAUCAGGAGAUAUACUCAGCAGUUUGCUUAUUCUGAUUUAUACUGCCAGUUUGAGAAAUGGAAGAAAUAAUUCAGGCAUAUAUAGAAAAAGCUUAUUUUAAAAAACAAAUCUUUUAUUGUAGAAUACUUUUAGAUCAACAGAAAAAAUUCAGAGAUCCUACAGAGGGUUGUCUUACAGCCCUCACCAAUCUCAUCCAUUGGUUGUAUCCUACAUUAGUAUGGUACAUUUGUUACAACAUUGAUUGAUACAUUCUUACUUACCUUAGUCCAUAUUUUAUUCAGUUUCCUUAGUUUUAUCAUAAUGCCCCCUUUUUCUUCCAGGAUCCCACAUUACAUUUAGUUAUCAUAUCUCAUUAGCCUCCUCCUGGCUGUGACAGAGUCUCAGGUUUUCCUUGUUUUUGAUGACCUUGACAGUUUUGAGGAGUACUAGUCAAGUGUUUUAUAGAAUAUCCCUCAAGUGGGAUUUUUCAUGAUUAGACUGGAAUAAUGUGUUUUGGGGAAGAAGACCAUAGAGGUAAUGUGCCAUUCACAUUUUAUAUCAAGGGGGCAUACUGUCAAUGUAACUUAUCACUGUUGAUAUUAAUCUUGAUCACCCAGCUGAGGGAGUACUUAUCUAUCAGAUUUCUCUACAGUAAGAUGUCUCUUUUUACUUCUUUCCAUACAAGGAAGAUUUUAGUGUAGUCUCCACUUAAAGAAUGGGAAGUUAUAUGCUACCUCCUCGAAAGUUGAGUAUUUGCAUAAAUUAUUUGGAAUUCUUCUGCAUGGGAGAUUUGUCUUUUCUCAUUUAUUUAUUUAUUUAUUUAUUUAUUUAUUUAUUUAUAUUUAUUCAUUCAGUAUGGACUCAUAGCUACAUAUUUUAUAAAUAAAAUAUUAAACAAAAUAUUAAAUAAAAUAAGAUUUUUUGGCUCAAGAAAUGUAUAACAUAUUAUACACAUACAUAUUUUUAUUUUUUAUAUACAUGUAAGUUAUAUAUAUUAACCAUUUCCUGACUUUCUGGGACUACAGGAGGCUUUAAGCUCAACUUAUAUAUUUCCUGUGUUAUUUCUGAUUUCUUUUACUGGAACAUGAUAUUUGAAACUAAAAUCUGAAAAGAGUAAAGAAACCAAGAUCUGAGUUUUAGGUAUGCUCAUUGCUACUGGGGUGUAGUUCAUUCCACAGACAGAGCAAGGAAAUACAUAUAUGCAUAGUAACCUGUGUGUGUGUGUGUGUGUGUUUGUGUAUAUAAUACAUGCUGCCUGUAUCUAUAUUUAAGCUAACUCUAUGUUUAUACUGAUAUGUCUAAUUUAUUCCCACGUGGAUCAUCGUAGUCUAUCUUUCCUUACCUGUCAUCUUCCAUUCGAACAAUGAGAAUUUGGCUCUCACUAUCCAUCAUUUGCCUAACUAUUCAACUUCUGUCUACAUGCAUAGUGAGUCUCGAACUGUUAACCUAUGCCUUUAUGGGAAACCACUUUAUCACCCACGGUACAGUGCUUAUGUAUAGUGUUUUUGCAUUUAGUCUUACAGACUUUACUCACUUUGAAAGUUACUUAGUUUAGCAGUUUCUCCACCAACCACCUUCACUGAAGUUAUUUCAUGCAUUGGUUUAUACACUUAGAUUCUUUUGUCACAGUUGCAUCUCAUUCUGACAUCUUUCAACCUCCUAAAUGAUUUUUUUUAAGUUGUAUCAUUAAAGUCCAUUCUUAGUGUUGCCAAGUUCUAAAAAUGCAUUGUGUCAUGCAUUCAUCCUUAUAGUAUCAUACCGAAUAGUUUCGCUGCCCUAAUAGCUGGAUAACUUCACCAGUUCAGUCCUCACACUCCUUUAGCCCCAAGCACUUGACAACCAUUAAUCUUCAUACAAACAUAUCUAUAGUUUUGCCUUUUCCAGAAUGUCAUAUAAUUGGAAUCAUACAACAUGUCGCCUGAAAGACUGUUUAUUUCACUUCAUAAUAUGUAGUUAGCAUUCACUGAUGUCUUUCUGUGGCUUGAUAGUUCAUUACAUUCCUUAGUGCUGAAUAGUAUUCCAUUGUGUGGAU